AUUGAACGCUGGCGGCAUGCCUUACACAUGCAAGUCGAACGGUAACGCGGGGCAACCUGGCGACGAGUGGCGAACGGGUGAGUAAAGCAUCGGAACGUGCCCAGUAGUGGGGGAUAGCCCGGCGAAAGCCGGCUUAAUACCGCAUACGACCUAUGGGUGAAAGGGGGGGAUCGCAAGACCUCUCGCUAUUGGAGCGGCCGAUGUCCGACUAGGUAGGUGGUGGGGUAAAGGCCUACCAAGCCGGCGAUUUGUAGCUGGUCUGAGAGGACGAACAGCCACACUGGGACGGAGACACGGCCCAGACUCCUACGGGAGGCAGCAGUGGGGAAUUUUUGACAAUGGGCGCAAGCCUGAUCCAGCCAUGCCGCGUGCGGGAAGAAGGCCUGCGGGUUGUAAACCGAUUUUGUCAGGGAAGAAAUCCUUUGGGUUAAUACCUCGGGGGGAUGACGGUACCUGAAGAAUAAGCACCGGCUAACUACGUGCCAGCCGCCGCGGUAA
rnacentral:rRNA from 1 species